AUAUGUUCUAGAGUCCAGUGGUUCUGGACUGAACAUUAGUGAAGAGAUUAUUGGUGAACAGUGUUGUUUCAAGACACAGAUGAAGAUUUUUUUCAGAGCUUCACUGACGGUUGAGGAGAGGCUAAAGAGUGCCCACUGUGUUUUCAUCAAUCGCAGAUUCCCUGUCACUGCUUUAGGUGCGAUCGCUUGAUUUAGCCAAGACUAAGGAUGAACCUCAGUCCCCACUUGGUGGAAUGAAUAAGUCAAUCACUACGGGCAGAUUCUUCCCAAGCCCCUACCAACAUGGACUCUGGCAGGAAAUGUGGGACAAUUUGUGACAAGUCAAUUUUAUGCAGGAACAAAGCCAGACAACUUGUCGCACGGUCAGCAGUCAUCUGUCAAGAGAUGGUCAUGUUGUUGAAGUUCAAAACCCAUAAGGAUGACACAGAGGGCUACCAGGAAGGAGAUGUGGAGAUUUGAAGGUUUACCACGUCAGACAGACAGAGCCUGAGACUCACUGUUCAAGGAGUGACUGUUGUUGCAGUCCUAACCUCAGCCGUCAGCCAAAUACUCCAGUUCUUCUGUCAGAGGCUGUCGCACGGCCUGGCUCGGUAUGAAUCAUAGGCUUCAACAAAUGGGAAGGCAUUUAAAUUGGUGAUGGCAGUUUAACAGCAUGUGUGACAGCCAAAUUGGGAGACAUACAGAAGAGGAUGCUACAGGAAGAAGAGACUUAUCAAUAAAACAAUAGCGGAAAAGUGAGAAACAAUCAGAAAAGUGCAAACAGUGCAGUAAGAAAAAUCCACAUAGAGAGAAAAAGAGUGGAAUUCAAAGAACAGCAAGCGCAAUAGAAAAAAAAUUUAGAGACUGAACAAAAAAACAGUCAAAAACAAGACAGACCCAACCAUUUGUCUUAAGAAACUCAAUGUGUGAUCAUCAAGUUUUACAUAUGAGACUGUUACUGGCAAGUUGCUGAUGGUGCUUUUGUGUUAAGUAUGGUGUACCAUACAGACAAUAAGUUGAAUCUAUGUUUUUUCUAUCUGAUUAUAUUUUCUCUGUGCUUGCAGGUUGAAUUUUGACAGUUUAUUUAUUAAACUUUGUACAAUUUGUACUCCUGAAAUCGUAUGACAGGGCAUGUGACACAUCGACAUCCAUACACAAU